rnacentral:misc_RNA from 1 species
GGCCACGGUUCGAAUCCGUGGC